UGUGGCCAUACAUAGGUGUAUAAAUGUGUGUUUGGGUAUGUAUAUGUGUAUUGAAAUGUAUAUGGGCACAUCAUAUAUGUACAUAUAUAUACACAUAUGUAAAGAAUAAUGGUGGCGAGUUGCUAGGAAGGUGCUGGGUUAGUCUCCGUCACCAUCUUCACAACAUGCUUAGUUCCAAGAUGUGAUCACUGCAGUACACACACACACUCACACACACACGCAC
rnacentral:lncRNA from 1 species